rnacentral:rRNA from 1 species
UGCAAGUCGAACGGUAACAGGAAUUAGCUUGCUAAUUUGCUGACGAGUGGCGCACGGGUGCGUAACGCGUAUACAAUCUACCUUUUGCUGAGGGAUAGCCCAGAGAAAUUUGGAUUAAUACCUCAUGGUAUUAUUGAUAGGCAUCUAUUAAUAAUUAAAGGUUACGGCAAAAGAUGAGUAUGCGUCCCAUUAGCUAGUUGGCGAGGUAACGGCUCACCAAGGCAACGAUGGGUAGGGGUCCUGAGAGGGAGAUCCCCCACACUGGUACUGAGACACGGACCAGACUCCUACGGGAGGCAGCAGUGAGGAAUAUUGGACAACGGGCGAGAGCCUGAUCCAGCCAUGCCGCGUGCAGGAAGACUGCCCUAUGGGUUGUAAACUGCUUUUAUACAGGAAGAAUAAGCCUUACGUGUAAGGUGAUGACGGUACUGUAAGAAUAAGGACCGGCUAACUCCGUGCCAGCAGCCGCGGUAAUACGGAGGGUCCGAGCGUUAUCCGGAAUUAUUGGGUUUAAAGGGUCCGUAGGCGGAUGAUUAAGUCAGGGGUGAAAGUUUGCAGCUCAACUGUAAAAUUGCCUUUGAUACUGGUCAUCUUGAGUUGUAUUGAAGUAGGCGGAAUAUGUAGUGUAGC